GAACGGGAAAGUGGAGCAAUCCAUGAGUACAGUGGCGUACGGGUGAGUAACACGUGGGUGAUCUACCUUUUAGUGGGGAAUAACCCUGGGAAACCGGGGCUAAUACCGCAUAAUCCCGAGAGGGGAAAGCAGCAAUGCGCUGAAAGAGGAGCCCGCGGCCGAUUAGCUAGUUGGCAGGGUAAGAGCCUACCAAGGCAGAGAUCGGUAGCCGGCCUGAGAGGGCACACGGCCACACUGGCACUGAAACACGGGCCAGACUCCUACGGGAGGCAGCAGUGGGGAAUCUUGCACAAUGGGGGCAACCCUGAUGCAGCGACGCCGCGUGAGCGAUGAAGCCCUUCGGGGUGUAAAGCUCUUUCGGCAGGGAAGAUGAUGACGGUACCUGCAGAAGCAGCUGCGGCUAACUACGUGCCAGCAGCCGCGGUAAUACGUAGGCAGCGAGCGUUGUUCGGAGUUACUGGGCGUAAAGGGUGUGUAGGCGGUUCUUUAAGUUCGGUGUGAAAUCUCCCGGCUCAACCGGGAGGGUGCGCCGAAUACUGAGGGACUAGAGUGCGGGAGAGGAAAGUGGAAUUCCUGGUGUAGCGGUGAAAUGCGUAGAUAUCAGGAGGAACACCGGUGGGUGUAGACGGCUUUCUGGACCGUAACUGACGCUGAGACACGAAAGCGUGGGUAGCAAACAGGAUUAGAUACCCUGGUAGUCCACGCCCUAAACGAUGCAUAUUUGGUGUGGGCAGUUCAUUCUGUC
rnacentral:rRNA from 1 species